CACGGUUCGCGGAGCGCGGGCUGGGGGCCGAGGAGAUGCCACAAGUGCUGCCCCUCCUGCCCCUUUAGCUGCAGAAGGCAGGCAAUCGUGGGGGCAAACCUGGAGCUGUGUCUCACAGACAUGAACACGGCUGUGUGUUUAAAUAAGGGAGUGUGCAGAUGGGCAAGUUUCACUCUGAUGGCCCUCAAGCAUAAUCCCAAAAUAUUUCCUCGGCAGGACCUCUCAGCGAGCAGGCUGGAUGGCGUGCUCUCCAUGGGCUUUUAUUCAGCAAUUCUCAUUGUCCCUUACAUGGCUCCGAGCACUAUUUACUGUACAGCGUCCAAAUUCAGCACUGAAUACAGAUGUGGUCCUCUCCUCGUGGGGCUUUCAGCAGUGCUAUUCACCCCAAGGCUUUAAAAUCAUUACGAGCAAUGUCCUUUCUGAGCUGAUGGCUCCCAAUGCAAGUGUUCCACACCCACUUCCCAGGGGUACCCUGUCAUUUCGGGGCCUUGCUAUUUAUCCUGGAUGCAGAAUUGCUCUCGGUGCCUCUUGUUCCCAAGCCAGCCCCACUGGCAUGCAGCACCCUGUUGCACAACAUCAGCAUGCUUCAUGUCUCUAGCUCUCAUUCAUUCUCACAUCCACCCUUCUCCCCAGCCUGUCUCUUUGUCCUGCCCCUUGCAGGGAGCCUCUGCCCUGCCAGCAGUAAUCCUAAAGUGCUGUGGUUCCCUAGGACUUUCUGGUUCCCACACCUGGCAUGGGAGAUUGAAAAAGCCAUGGCUAACGUUUGCAAAAAUGCUCACUGGCUUUUGUGUGGUCAGCCCAAAAGAUUUCACCAUCCUGUUGGAGAGGUGCCGUGUGGAAGAGAGGACCCUGUGGAUGCCAAGCACAGGGGAGCUGACAGCCUUGUGUCCCGAGCUGGCAGUGCGUGUGACCCUUAGAGGCCAGUGAUGAUUCAUGAAGGAGGAAGAUCGUGUCAAGAUCCUUGUUCUCGAGAUGCUAAACAAAAUACCCAGAUCCCCAAGGUUUGUGGUUUGAGGAAAAGUGUCUGUGGCAGCUACAGUGGUUGGUAUUGCUGAGAUCUGAAUGAGUAACGUGUGACACCAAGUUUAUGUAACCACAGUGUCAAGCCCCAAAUGGUUUUCAUGUCAUCAUCUUCCAUAACCAGGUCAGUUGCUUCAGGUCAAAAGCCUGACUUAAAUAUUAAAUUUAUUAUCAAGAUUUUUAGUGUCAUUUGUUAUUUCAACAAGUGAAAAGGCAGACUUCAAUACCUUAUGAAAAUCAUACUAGGCUUUGGUUUAUUCCAAGAAGCCAGCCAAAGAUGGCCUGCACUCUUAGUUUAUGAAGAGACAUCAGAGGUGAUUCAAAAGAGAAGCAGGACCAGGGCAACCAUUCCUUUUCUCCACUUAUAAAUGCUCACAGCCCAAUUGCUGCUAGGUCAGGCCACACUCUGCUCUGUUUCAGGGUGGUAAGCACAGGUGGGAAAUAGACAAGAGAACCACGAGUGUUUGUGUGUUUUCGUGCAGCAGGACCAAGGUGAGCGGGCUGCAGAACAUGGGAAAUGAACUAAUCUCACCUUUGAAAUCAACAGAUUGAAGGGCUUGGCAAAGCAAGAGCAUUAUAGCUGUGUCUCUUCAGGAUGGAUAUAUGACCUGGGAGUCUGUGAGCCAGCCAGGAGCCAAACUUCCUCGGGUGUAGCUGGCUCUCCCUUGCAUUGGGGAGAUAGGACACGCCACCUCUCCAGCCACACCAUCCCACUGCUUUCCAGUUCUACCAGGGGACAAACAGCUGCCUGCAAAAGGAGAGGCCCUGGCUGGAAUGUAGCCUUCUUAGGGAAAUGCAGCACAAGAGAGGUGCUGAUAGUCCUGUGAGGGAGGGAAUGAGAUAAGGCAGGUGCCGGAGCUCCUGGCAUACAAGGGGAGGCUGAAAGAGCUGUUUCUU
ensembl:lncRNA